UUCUAAUAAAGAAAGGACAAUUUUCUCAUUUGAGAAAGCAACCAAAGAAGCUGUGGUAAUAAAGCAUCAUAUCUUUUUUCCUUCACUUGUACUGGUGAGGAAAGUCUUAUAUGAUAUAUGAAUUAUCUUCUACUUACAUUCUCCAUGAAAACAAAUUUCAUCACUCCAAUUAACAAAUGUCUCUGUUGCGCCUGUCGCUCCCAGGAUCGUCGAGAAGCGUUUCAAGUUUCCCAAUUUCGCUGGCCCCGAUGUUUCCGCCGAAGACUUGGGUCACCAUGCCGGCUACUACACAAUUCAGCAUUCUCAUGCUGCUAGGUUAUGAUGAAUUCCAUGAAUGUUCCUUCCAAAAGAAGUACUCUGGAGAGGAAACUUGACAAACUUAUACUCACUCUUUUUGGUGUUCUCUUCUGUAUGUGUCUAAUUGGGGCCAUUGGCAGGUUGCUUUUUUAAAUAUGUUUACCCUAAUUACUUUGUAUUCACCAAUUAUCCCCAUUUCUCUUUAUGUUUCAAUUGAGACAAUCAAAUUUAUACAAUCCAAUCAAUAUAUUAACAAUGCAAAAAAUUGACUCUUGUGAUAGAUGGGAAGUGUUUGAUGUAUGCACUAGACCCGAGUUUAAGAGUAAUACUACUGAAUUUGAGCUUGAAUUGUAGUUCAGUAGUUUGCUGCCGAGUUUCUCCUUUACAGAA